rnacentral:rRNA from 1 species
AUGUUUCUUAUUCAUGCUUUGCUUGUGUUCCAAUGUCGUCUCCCCAUAUAUGGGGAUGUGAUCAGGGAUGUAAACCAUUUAGGUCGUUUCGAGCAGGCAGGGAUCCAGAGAUGUGCGCUGGUAGGAUAUAGACAAAUGUCACAUUUGCUCUUCCUUGUGUUGCUAAGGACACGGAUGGGUUACAACGCAGGACCGAUAAUUCUGAUAGUAUGCCGAUACUUGCAAAUUUAUAUCACCUUAUGGGAGGGAAAGACUCUGAAAUUUGGUGAUAAAGAAAAGAAUCCAGGGUGGAUGGAGGUUUUCAUGAUGGCUAAUUUGAUUUGUUAUGGUUCUGAUGGUGUGCUUCUUGUGUUCGAACUGAACCUGUGGAUCACUCAUCAACCUGGUCUGUGUUUGUAUGCUAGUAAUAUAGUAAUGCCAUACUUCUUUGGACGUUGUUCUGCAUAUGCAAGUGUGAUGAGCUCACAUAUUGUGUCAGUAUCUACCUACAUAGAUGAAUUAUUUUCGGAUAGGACAGAGAUGCAAUGUUUACGAAGGUUCUUUAACAUUGAACUCAUCAAAGGUCCUUGGACUCAAGAGGUCAGCUACCAGAACUUCCCCGCUGAUCCUGGGAUGUUUCUGAACAUGCUCCCGAACAUGUUCAAUUUAUCCGCCCUAGGACAGGUUACUUGGCAUGCUCGGCGUGUUUACUUCGGUGGACUUCCUCUGACCGCUAAUGAACAGACGGUUGCUCUAUUCUUCAAUCAAGUUAUGGCUGCUAUCGGGGGAAAAACAUUUGGUCUAGGUGAAGCAGUUGUUAAUAUGAAGCUGGUGGCAUAA